UGGGAUAUAGCUCAAUAGUAGAGCACUUGCCUAACAUACAUCAUGCUCUAGGUUUGAUCCCUAGUUCUGCAA
rnacentral:tRNA from 1 species